AGUGAACGCUGGCGGUAGGCCUAACACAUGCGAGUCGAACGGCAGCACAGUAAGAGCUUGCUCUUACGGGUGGCGAGUGGCGGACGGGUGAGGAAUACAUCGGAAUCUACUUUUUCGUGGGGGAUAACGUAGGGAUACUUACGCUAAUACCGCAUACGACCUACGGGUGAAAGCAGGGGAUCUUCGGACCUUGCGCGAUUGAAUGAGCCGAUGUCGGAUUAGCUAGUUGGCGGGGUAAAGGCCCACCAAGGCGACGAUCCGUAGCUGGUCUGAGAGGAUGAUCAGCCACACUGGAACUGAGACACGGUCCAGACUCCUACGGGAGGCAGCAGUGGGGAAUAUUGGACAAUGGGCGCAAGCCUGAUCCAGCCAUACCGCGUGGGUGAAGAAGGCCUUCGGGUUGUAAAGCCCUUUUGUUGGGAAAGAAAAGCAGCAGGUUAAUACCCCGCUGUUCUGACGGUACCCAAAGAAUAAGCACCGGCUAACUUCGUG
rnacentral:rRNA from 1 species